AAUCAACACUGGCGGCGUGCCUAACACGUGCAAGUCGCACGAGAAAGGGUCUUCGGAUCUGAGUAAAGUGGCGCACGGGUGAGUAACACGUGAAUUAUCUACCUUCGAGUGGGGAAUAACUUCGGGAAACCGAGGCUAAUACCGCAUAAUAUCUACGGAUCAAAGCAGUAAUGCGCUUGAAGAUGAGUUCGCGGCAGAUUAGUUAGUUGGCGGGGUAAUGGCCCACCAAGACGAUGAUCUGUAUCCGGCCUGAGAGGGCCCACGGACACACUGGAACGGAGACACGGGCCGGACUCCUACGGUAGGCAGCAGUGGGGAAUUGUGGGCAAUGGGGGAAACCCUGACGCAGCAACGCAGCGUAGAGGAUGAAGUCUCUUGGGACGUAAACGCCUUUCUAUAGAGAAGAUUAUGACGGUACCUAUAGAAGAAGCCCCGGCUAACUUCCUGCCAGCGGCCGCCGUAA
rnacentral:rRNA from 1 species